ACAGUUAACGCCAGCCCAUGACACCUUGCUUAGCCACACCCUCAAGGGACUUCAGCAGUGAUAAACAUUAAGCUAUAAGUGAAAACUUGACUUAGUUAAAGCUAAAAGAGCCGGUAAAACUCGUGCCAGCCACCGCGGUUAUACGAGAGGCUCAAGUUGACAGACAACGGCGUAAAGAGUGGUUAAGGAAUUUACUAAACUAAAGCCGAACGCCCUCAGAACUGUUAUACGUUUCCGAAGGUAAGAAGCCCCACCACGAAAGUGACUUUAUUUUCCCCGACUCCACGAAAGCUGCGGAACAAACUGGGAUUAGAUACCCCAUUAUGCCCAGCCCUAAACUUUGAUAGACCAUUACACCCACUAUCCGCCAGGGUACUACGAGCAUUAGCUUAAAACCCAAAGGACUUGGCGGUGCUUUAUAUCCACCUAGAGGAGCCUGUUCUAGAACCGAUAACCCCCGUUAAACCUCACCCUCCCUUGUUUUUUCC
rnacentral:rRNA from 1 species